GCUCUUGUAGUAUAAACAUUACCCUGGUCUUGUAAACCAAAAAUGAAGCGCCCAAAGCUUCCCAGAGCA
rnacentral:tRNA from 1 species